rnacentral:tRNA from 1 species
GCCUUCAUAGCUCAGCCGCAGAGCACCUGCUUCGUAAGCAGGGGGUCGGGGGUUCAAAUCCCUCUGAAGGCU